AUUUGAUAGUGUUUUUGGUACAUCAAUCGACCAGUUGUUCUCUUUUAACGGACGGGGUCUUAAAGAAUUUAAUGAGUCACUAUGCGGAUGCACAAUUAGUGGAACUUCACAACUCAACAAGAGAAAAUUUUUGAACAAUGACUGCAAUAAAAGUGAUACCCUGAUGCAUCGGUUCCAAAAGGUAAGAAGACAGGGUCGCAAUAUUACA
rnacentral:misc_RNA from 1 species